UACAGAGGGGGCAAGCGUUGUUCGGAAUUACUGGGCGUAAAGGGCGCGUAGGCGGCCUGUUAAGUCGAACGUGAAAUCCCCGGGCUCAACCCGGGAACCGCGUCCGAUACUGGCAGGCUUGAAUUCGGGAGAGGGAUGUGGAAUUCCCGGUGUAGCGGUGAAAUGCGCAGAUAUCGGGAGGAACACCUAUGGCGAAGGCAGCUUGCUGGGACGGUACUGACGCUGAGACGCGAAAGCGUGGGGAGCAAACAGG
rnacentral:rRNA from 1 species